rnacentral:tRNA from 1 species
GCCUACUUAGCACAGUGGGCAGUGCGUCAGUCUCACAGUCUGAAGGUCCUGAGUUCAUUCUCAGAGAGGGCA